CGCCGCCCGUGACUCGGCGAGAAGUCCAUUGAACCUUAUCAUUUAGAGGAAGGAGAAGUCGUAACAAGGUUUCCGUAGGUGAACCUGCGGAAGGAUCAUUG
rnacentral:rRNA from 1 species